AGUGAACGCUGGCGGCAGGCCUAACACAUGCAAGUCGAACGGCAGCACAGUAAGAGCUUGCUCUUACGGGUGGCGAGUGGCGGACGGGUGAGGAAUACAUCGGAAUCUACUUUUUCGUGGGGGAUAACGUAGGGAAACUUACGCUAAUACCGCAUACGACCUACGGGUGAAAGCAGGGGAUCUUCGGACCUUGCGCGAUUGAAUGAGCCGAUGUCGGAUUAGCUAGUUGGCGGGGUAAAGGCCCACCAAGGCGACGAUCCGUAGCUGGUCUGAGAGGAUGAUCAGCCACACUGGAACUGAGACACGGUCCAGACUCGUACGGGAGGCAGCAGUGGGGAAUAUUGGACAAUGGGCGCAAGCCUGAUCCAGCCAUACCGCGUGGGUGAAGAAGGCCUUCGGGUUGUAAAGCCCUUUUGUUGGGAAAGAAAAGCAGCAGGUUAAUACCCCGCUGUUCUGACGGUACCCAAAGAAUAAGCACCGGCUAACUUCGUG
rnacentral:rRNA from 1 species